UACGUAGGGAGCAAGCGUUGUUCGGAUUUACUGGGCGUAAAGGGCGCGUAGGCGGCGCGGUAAGUCACUUGUGAAAUCUCUGAGCUUAACUCAGAACGGCCAAGUGAUACUGCAGUGCUAGAGUGCAGAAGGGGCAAUCGGAAUUCUUGGUGUAGCGGUGAAAUGCGUAGAUAUCAAGAGGAACGCCUGAGGUGAAGACGGGUUGCUAGGCUGACACUGACGCUGAGGCGCGAAAGCCAGGGGAGCAAACGGG
rnacentral:rRNA from 1 species